AGAGGGGUCAUAUCCGGCGUUGAGCGAAUACAGAAACAAUUGGUGCAAAGCUUCAGUGACGACAGAUCUGAUUCGUCCACAUUUAUUGCUGCACAAGAUAAACAGAAGCGCCAUGGCUGGUUAUUUACUUACGACGUCUUGACAAAACUGAUGGAGCAGAAAGAAUUAAUCACAUUAAUGAAGAAGGUCGACGAUAUUGACUGUGACGUCUUCUGUAAGCGACUUGAUGACGUGUGCGCUGUACUGGGACCCUUGAAGACUGCUGUUAGAUUUAUUGUGCUCGCAGAGACCCAUCAUUGCCUCGAUGAUUCUACCCAUCAUAAAGAAACUUCAAGUUUCUCUCUCACCGAAAACUAGCGAUUCAUCCGUCGUCAAGGACUUUAAGGAAACAAUAUGGAGGACUUUAUAUUCAGCUUACUCCGAUGCGAAUGUUCGAAAGUUCCUUCUAGUUGCCAGUUUUCUAGAUCCAAGAUAUAAAGACCUCCUCUUCGUGGAGAAAGAAGAGCGCGUUCUCGCACGUGAUGUGUUGUCGGAGGUAGCGACAGAGCUGUACCGCCGUGGGUCGGACACUUCCGGCGAGGAGGAGAUCGUGAUACAGAGUGAAAAGGGCGGGUCUCCGUGUUCUGUCAUUGUGAUCAACAACGAGAGAGACUACGAACCAAGCGCAAAGAAGCUAAAAAAUGAUGACAAGGAAGAGAAUGCAACAACUUCUUCUAAAUCAGACGACUGGCUUGCUGACGUCAUAGGUAGCAAGAAAUCAACAAUGAACACGGCCAAGGAGGAGGGGGUGUUGGCUGAAAUUGAUCAGUACCACACCAUGGAGCAGAGAACCACAUCUCCGUUUGUGUGGUGGAACCACCGCCAAUCAAUCUUCACCACAUUGUCACGUGUCGCGAAGACCUACCUCUGUGUUCCCGCCACUUCUCGAUCACCUGACCAGAUGUUUGUGGCGGAAGCUGACAGGGAUGGAUCCCAGCGGAGGCUGCUGUCGAGUGAUCACGUGGACAGACUCGUGUUCCUACACAACAACUACUUCAAAUUAAAGAACUAACGAAUUAACUCCUUUCAUCAUGUGUAUGAGAUGUACAAUUGUUUAAUGCAUACGAGCAUGUGUAUUUGCCAUUAAAUUUCUACAAACAU
rnacentral:misc_RNA from 1 species